UCCUUCUGUGUGAUCUGUGCAGCCCCAGAGAAGAGCAGAGAGGGAAGGGGCCGAGCCCAGGGCUGUGUCCCGGGGCUGAGCCUUGGGUGCAGCCUGAGGAUCUGCUACAGCACCACAGGAGCUGUUCUGUCCUGCCUUUCUUUGCAGCUGAACCUGUUGGUGAAGGUGGUGCAGCUUCCCCACCCAUACCCAUCACUGAGCCUCUGGGAGAUGCUGAGGGUGUGGCUGCAGAGAGGUCUUUCCCUGGUCCUUUGGUAGAUGCUGCUCAAAAGCCCAGCUCCCAUCGCAGGGGUCCCCUGAGAAGGAAGAGCAAACUUAGAGGACACAUGUCCCUGGAGGCAUCCAAAC